CCUACGGGGGCAGCAGUAGGGAAUCUUCCACAAUGGACGAAAGUCUGAUGGAGCAACGCCGCGUGAGUGAAGAAGGGUUUCGGCUCGUAAAGCUCUGUUGGUAGUGAAGAAAGAUAAAGGGAGUAACUGGCCUUUAUUUGACGGUAAUUACUUAGAAAGUCACGGCUAAAUACGUGCCAGCAGCCGCGGUAAUACGUAGGGGGGAAGGGUUGUCCGGAUUUAUUGGGCGUAAAACGAGUGCAGGCGGGUCAAUAAGUGUGAU
rnacentral:rRNA from 1 species